rnacentral:rRNA from 1 species
GUGUCAGCCGCCGCGGUAAUACAGAGGGGGCAAGCGUUGUUCGGAAUUACUGGGCGUAAAGGGCGCGUAGGCGGCCCUCUAAGUCGAACGUGAAAUCCCUGGGCUCAACCCAGGAACUGCGUCCGAUACUGAGGGGCUAGAAUCCGGGAGAGGGAUGUGGAAUUCCAGGUGUAGCGGUGAAAUGCGUAGAUAUCUGGAGGAACAUCGGUGGCGAAGGCGGCAUCCUGGACCGGUAUUGACGCUGAGGCGCGAAAGCCAGGGGAGCAAACGGGAUUAGAUACCCCGGUAGUCCUGGCCCUAAACGAUGAAUGCUUGGUGUGGCGGGUAUCGAUCCCUGCCGUGCCGAAGCUAACGCAUUAAGCAUUCCGCCUGGGGAGUACGGUCGCAAGGCUGGAACUUAAAUGAAUUGACGGGG